CUGUUCGCCCAUUAAAGCGGUACGCGAGCUGGGUUUAGAACGUCGUGAGACAGUUCGGUCCCUAUCCGCUGCGCGCGUAGGAAAUUUGAGAGGAUCUGACCCUAGUACGAGAGGACCGGGUUGGACGAACCUCUGGUGUGCCAGUUGUUCUGCCAAGAGCACCGCUGGUUAGCUACGUUCGGGAUGGAUAACCGCUGAAAGCAUCUAAGCGGGAAGCCGGCCUCAAGAUGAGAUUUCCAUACCUUCGGGUGAGAGGCUCCCAGCCAGACUACUGGGUUGAUAGGCCGGAUGUGGAAGCGUGGUAACACGUGAAGCUGACCGGUACUAAUAAGCCGAUGAUUUGAUAAC
rnacentral:ncRNA from 1 species